CCAAUAGCGUAUAUUAAAGUUGUUGCAGUUAAAAAGCUCGUAGUUGAAUUUCAGGCCUGGCUGGACGGUCCGCCCUUCGGGUGAGUACUGUCUGUGGUCGGGUCCUACCUUCUGGCGAAGCGUCAUGGCCUUAACCGGCCGUGGCGGGGAACCAGGACUUUUACUGUGAAAAAAUUAGAGUGUUCAAAGCAGGCAAUCGCUUGGAUACAUUAGCAUGGAAUAAUGGAAUAGGACAAUGGUUCUAUUUGUUGGUUUCUAGGACCGUUGUAAUGAUUAAUAGGGAUAGUUGGGGGCAUUAGUAUUCAAUUGUCAGAGGUGAAAUUCUUGGAUUUAUUGAAGACUAACUACUGCGAAAGCAUUUGCCAAGGAUGUUUUCAUUAAUCAAGAACGAAAGUUAGGGGAUCGAAGACGAUCAGAUACCGUCGUAGUCUUAACCAUAAACUAUGCCGACUAGGAAUCGGGCGAUGUUGAAAAAACGACGCGCUCGGCACCUCAUG
rnacentral:rRNA from 1 species